UCAGGAAUAAGAUGACGGGAAGGGCAACCACCAGGAGUGGAGCCUGCGGCUUAAUUUGACUCAACACGGGGAAACUCACCCGGCCCGGACACAGUGAGGAUUGACAGAUUGAGAGUCUUUCUUGAUUCUGUGGGUGGUGGUGCAUGGCCGUUCUUAGUUGGUGGAGCGAUUUGUCUGGUUAAUUCCGAUAACGAACGAGACUCUGGCUUGCUAAAUAGUCGCGCCGGCCGCCGCGCCGGGCGCUGACUUCUUAGAGGGACAAGUGGCGUUCAGCCACGCGAGAUUGAUUAGAUGUCCGGGGCCGCACGCGCGCUACACUGAAGGGGUCAGCGGGUCCCGUCCCUUGGCCGGAAGGUSUGGGCAAUCCGUUGAACCCCCUUCGUGCUUGGGAUAGGGAGUUGCAAUUGUCUCCCUUGAACGAGGAAUUCCCAGUAAGCGCGAGUCAUCAGCUCGCGUUGAUUACGUCCCUGCCCUUUGUACACACCGCCCGUCGSUACUACCGAUUGAAUGGUUUAGUGAGAUCCUCGGACGGGCCGCGGCGGGGCGCCCCCGGCGCCUCGCUCGUGCGCCCGGAAGACGAUCGAACUUGAUCAUUUAGAGGAAGUAAAAUCGUUAACAAGGUUUCC
rnacentral:rRNA from 1 species